rnacentral:rRNA from 1 species
UACGUAGGGCGCAAGCGUUAUCCGGAAUUAUUGGGCGUAAAGAGCUCGUAGGUGGUUUGUCGCGUUGUUCGUGAAAACUCACAGCUUAACUGUGGGCGUGCGGGCGAUACGGGCAGACUGGAGUACUGCAGGGGAGACUGGAAUUCCUGGUGUAGCGGUGGAAUGCGCAGAUAUCAGGAGGAACACCGGUGGCGAAGGCGGGUCUCUGGGCAGUAACUGACGCUGAGGAGCGGAAAGCGUGGGGAGCGAACAGG